AAAGAAAGACUAAAAUCGCAAAAACAAAAUUGAAAUGACUUGUUUAAAUGGUUUUUUUAUUAGGCUAAAACUUAAAAGAAAUAAUAAUUUGAAGGCUCUUGGAAUGCCUGGUUUUAAUUGGUCAGUUGUGGCAUUCACCACCUGUCCGAUAUUUGGGAUUAAUAACAGUUGUCAUGACAACGCUCAUUCGUCUCGGUUUCCGCUUCCAAACGCGCGUAGGCUACUUGAUAUCUUUAUUUUGUGCGCAAAGACUACUCCAAGUAAUGUUAAAAUGCGAUGUAUUUUUAUAAUAACAGCAUGCGAAGUGUGUAACUAGCAGAGACCGUGCUAUCUGAUUAGCACUUCAGCUGAGAAGCCGUCAGAUUCACAAAGUUACAUCGUUACCUGCAGUACACUGCUCCACCACUAGAGGACCAUCUGCUGAAUUCAAGAAUGACUCCCCAAGAAGUAUUCAGAGUGAACAGGUGGAACGAAGCCAAGCUGGGUGAAGACUGUUCAUCCGGCGGUGACUGGACAGG